CUCCAUUUUUCCCAUUAAAGUUGCCAAAAUAAUCCUCCUCGCUGGUGAAGGGAACGGCCACUAUGAGAAAUCCUGACCCGCAGAAGCUGGUGAGGACCACAGCAGUCUGGCGCUUGCAUGGGCGCAGGUUGCUGAAAGGGAAUACAAUGACCAGGAACUUCUCCAGCGUCAGGAAUGUCAGCAGCAGCACCAAGACCUCCGUGGACAGCGAGGACAGGAAGCCCAACAGGCAGCAGCCCGCAGCAGCACAUACUUCCGUUACUGCCUCGGUACUUGAUGUCAAAGAUGCCCACGGAGAACAGAUCCUUCAUCCUGUGUUAAAUGAAC
rnacentral:lncRNA from 1 species